rnacentral:misc_RNA from 1 species
CCUAGAGUUGUAGGCUUUGCCUGCUAUCUCUUACCCAUGUCUUUUGAGUACCUUACGUUUCCUCGGCGGGUUCGCCCGCCGAUUGGACAAUUUAAACCCAUUGCAGUUGCAAUCAGCGUCUGAAAAACUUUAAUAGUUA